CAGGAACAAGACUGAAGCCACUCCCUUCACGUUGCCUGAGAUGCUGCUGCUUGCUCCAAAACAGGGCCGGAGUCCAGCUUUGAAGUUGUUGUCUUCUGGUUGGAAUUUCUGUUGAAAGAGCACAAGCAGGGGAGGGGCAGAGAGAGAGACACAGAAUCCGAAGCAGGCUCCAGGCUCUGAGCUGUCAGCACAGAGCCCGACGUGGGACUCAAACUCACGAACCACGAGAUCAUGACCUGAGCUGAAGUCGGACGCUCAACCGACUGAGCCACCCAGGUUUAACCAAAGAGGAUAUAUGUCACCUUCCACGUUGGCCACCCCUCCUGUGUUUAAACACGGCCGCCCCAGCUCCUUGGGUUCAGCCAACUUCCGGGACAAUGCCUACCCCAUCUUACUGCCCACGCCCACCGCACCAUGCCUGGACAACUGCAGCCCGUGUUCUCCUCCGGUUCUAGCAAUCCACCCCCUCCCUUUCCGAAUGGAACUCAGUGUGGUGAGGCAGAACAUCAAAGUUCAUUUUUGUUUCUCUUGGAGCUGCAACACUGUGAGAUGGAUGCGGUGAGCCCUGCAUGACAGACGGGACCCAGAGAACGGGAAAGGUCACCAGCUUACCCAGGUCAGUGACAUCAAAGCAGCCCUUGCAACAGUGAUUUGGGUGAAUGUAGAUUCAAUGCCUGCAGAAGGUCCUGGAGAGAGAAGAAAUGCAGGGAGCAGGAAAGGCAGAGGAGGAUUCUAAGCAAGGAUGUGGUCUCUGGUCUCGGCAGGAUCCAGCCUUCGCCUGAUCAAAAAGGGAGCUCUGGAGCAUGAAACACACCUGCUUAGUCAUUGCCGCUUUGAGGCAGUGUGGAAAGACGAGAGAUACCUUCUCACAGCAGUAGGGGAAUUUGUGUGGGGACCAAGUAAAGGGAAUCUGGAAAGGGAACCAACAUCCCAGCUCCACUGUCCUCGAACAUUUGAAGGACUGAUUGAUGAGGGCCACAAGUGUCCAUUUGCAUUACAAUGGAAAGCCGCAGCAUCAUUAAAAAGAUCGAAUUGGAACUAAAGAAAACCUGCUACCUUUUAGAUGCUUGGACACGCUGAAUAAGGAGAUUAAGUAGAGGGAGGUGGGAAAGCUGGUCCUAAAUGGUUAAUUUCCUCUACCACUUGCAAAACCAUUCAACUGAAGUGAAGUGAGAAUGAGUUUGGUCCAUGGCUGACUACCUUCAGAACCUUCUGCUAUUCUUUGUGAUGAGGCCUUCAAGGAAGGCCCCGUUGCCAGCCUUGAGAUUGCUGAUUUCAAGGCACUUCUAAGACAAAAAUAAAAAUUCCAUUACUUUCUUCGGGAGAUGACUGUCUGCUCCUUUAGAGCUGGGCCGGAGGGAGCAUUCAGAAUACAUUGCUGGGAGUAAAUGGAAUUUCUCAGCUAUUUAAAUUGCAAUUCACCCCUGAAAACUCCCAUUUUAUCAAAACUCCUGGUUAAUACUAUUUUCCAUGCUCAAGUAUUCUCCCCAGAUACACAGGCAGGAGAUGCAGGAGCCCGGGGGAGACUGUGCCGGGAACAAAGUUCCUUUAAGGGGCCUCAGAUACUAACAUCCUUACUGCCGUGUAACAAACAAAACUUAGAAAGGCCUGAGCUUUAACAUGGCAGACAGGUGUGCAGAAGGACAGCGGGUGUUCUACAGGAAUCAGAGGAUUUAAUCUGCCUCUCAUUAGUCGUACGCCCAUGAGAAAGUCAUAUGGUCUCUCUGAGCCUUUAAGUUCCCAUCUCUGAAAUGCAUUUUGGAACACCUUCUUCGCUAUCUCAAAAAACUGUCGUGAUGAUUUCAUUAGGUUAAUUUAUAGGUAUGAUUUAUAUAAAACAGUGCUACACAAAACCCUACAAUUAAGACUAUGGUAGGCAAAAUUCUAAGACAGCCCCCAAGAAUCCCAUCCCCUGGUGUAUGUACCUUAUAUUAUCCCUCCUCCUUGAGUGUGAGUAUGUCCUGUGAAUAUGAUAGGCUAGUCACUCCCAUGAUUAGACUAUGUAGCUUAAGUCUCUAUCUUAACAGACCGAGGAGAGGCUUUUCCUGCUGGCUUCAAAGAAAGUAAGUUUCUAGGCCAUGUUAGGACUUGAGGGUGGCCUUGAGGAGAUGAAUGGACUGUCAGCCAGCGAAGAAACAGGGACCUCAGUACCGCAACCAAAACUCAAAAUCUACCAACAACCUCAAGGAGGAUGAAAGGAGAGCCCAGGCUCAGAAAGAACUCGGUCCAGCCAACACGUUGAUUUUAGCCUCAUAAGACCCUGAGCAGAAAAUCCAGUUGUUCUGUGCCAAAACUUCUGACCUAUGAAAACUAUGAUAUAAUAAAUGGGUGUUGGUUUAGC